AAAGUGCACAAUUCAGCCAGGUGUGGUGACUCACGCCUGUAUUCCCAGUACUUUGGGGGGCCGAGGUGGGCGGUCACCUGAGGUCACAGAGACCUGUAAUCCCAGCUACUCGGGAGGCCAAGGCAUGAGAAUUGCUUGAACCCAGGAGGUGGAGGUUGCAUUGAGGCCAAGAUUGCGCCAUUGCACUCCAGCCUGGGCAACAGAGUAAGACUCCGUCUCAAAAAAAAAAAAAAAAGCAAGUGUUCCUCAGCACUGAGGGUUUUUAAUUUUUUAUAUGAAAAGUCUGUUGAAGGAUAUAUGUUAGAAGCUGUUGACUGAAAUUUUCAUUCUAGAUUAUUAGAUUAUGGUUUUGGAUUGCUUAUUGUCACUUUUUCAUAUUUUAGUCACCGCCCAGGAGCCUGUCUGCCUCCUGCUGCUGUUCAUGGUGCCCAGACUGUUCAUGCCAAGGGACACGUGCAGGCCAGCACUGGGCCGUCCUCAGCCUGCCUUGGCCCUCCUUCCGUGUUCGCUGGCGCCCAAAGGCUGGAAGGGGCCACUGUUAAAAGUCGGGUUAAGAUGUGGUCACUGGGCCUGAGGGAUGCUAAUUGCCUGCCUCCUUCGGGAUUGCCUUUCCCAGGUUCUGGUCAACGGGGUACGAGUCAAAGUGAUGUGGGUUCUCUUGCAGUAAUUUUAUCAUUUCUCUAUAGAUGUUGACAGUUUCUAAAGUCCUACCAGGCAUUUUUUCUAAGUGACCUUAUUUGGGAGGAAAAAGGAAUAUGUGUCAGAAGGGAAAAAAUGUAGUGGAACAGGAAGGAAAGGGAGGGAUACUAUUUUGCUACUCCAAAGUAAUUGAUAGAGGAUUCCUUUGGAGGGAGGAGUGGAGAGGGAAUUUUUGCAGUUGUUUUCCAUUCUACUGCUUUAAAUCAUUACCUUUCAUUUAAACUCAUUUAAAUGUCUACUUUUUUCUGAUGGAUUCCACUCUUUCUGGUCAAAAGUAUUGAGGGGAAUUUGAAAGACAAGUCAUCAGGUAGGCCUGGAUUUGAUCCCAACAAUAGUUACUGACUUCUAGAGCUAAAUCACAUGCAGAGAUCAUUAGAUAUAAGGUGGGAACCAGGAAUCUGCAUUUUAACAAAUUCCUGAAAUAAUUGUGUUCAUGCAGAUGGACCUUGAACCACAAUUCAAGACACACUGUUACAGAGAAACAACUCUUAGAGCUUUUAUUCUCACUGCAAUCUUUUACUUGAGGAUUUGGUUAAGAUCUAAAAUGACGUCUGAAAGACAGAUGCUUGCUGUGUUAGAAUCAUGUCUCCUAGUUCACUGCCUUUGGACCCAAGAUGUCCACCUUGAGUUCUGUUUCCUUAGCUUAGUGGUUCUUAACCCCAGCUGCACAUUAAGGUCCCCUAGGAUACUUUAAAAGAAAAUACCGGUGUCUGCACUUCACCUCCAGAAAUUCUGAUUUAAUUGCUCUGGAGUGGGGCCUAGAUGGCCUCAGUGAUGUUAAUGUGCUGCCAGGCUUGGGAGCAGCUGCCUUAAACUGAGUCUGACCCUAGAUGUUUCUUGGUCCUAUUGCAAAUCCUUGUGUCCUUUGCACCCAUCCAAGCCAAUGUGUCUUAAGGUUACAUAUAGUCAGACUCAAGCUGGAGCCCUUGUUGAAAUAUUAUGUAGUGGGGAUUAUUGUAGAGAAACACUUUGAUAGAAAUUGUAACAUAUGUAAUUUUUCAAGAAACUGAUAAGAUUAUUCACCACCCGUAGUCUACUCAGAGGCUACUCACCUGUAGCCAAGUGAGUUUAAUUCCCUUCAAAAUAGUCACUUUGGGGAUUGAGGCAAGUCUUUUUAAGGAUGCUUCAAUUUUUCAAAACCCAUUUGGCCUUUUCUCUGUUUUAGACGUUGC
rnacentral:lncRNA from 1 species